rnacentral:rRNA from 1 species
GUGCCAGCAGCCGCGGUAAUACGGAGGAGGCGAGCGUUGUUCGGAAUCAUUGGGCUUAAAGCGCGUGUAGGCGGAUCGGUAAGUGUCUUGUGAAAGCCCCCGGCUCAACCGGGGAACCGCUGGGCAUACUGCCGGUCUUGAGGCAGGUAGGGGCGGGUGGAACUCUAGGUGGAGCGGUGAAAUGCGUAGAUAUCUAGAGGAACGCCGGUGGCGAAAGCGACCCGCUGGGCCUGUUCUGACGCUGAGACGCGAAAGCGUAGGGAGCAAACGGGAUUAGAUACCCCGGUAGUCUACGCCGUAAACGAUGCGCACUGGGUUUGAAGGCCCCUGACGGCCUUCGGGCCGAAGCAAAAGUGCUAAGUGCGCCGCCUGGGGAGUACGGCCGCAAGGCUAAAACUCAAAGGAAUUGACGG